rnacentral:pre_miRNA from 1 species
AGGAGGAACAACCGCAGUGGCGGGGCCAGCUCUGCAGCCCUGGAGUCAGCUCCCGCAGUCACCACAGAGCUCUCCGUCUGCAGGGCCUGGAGGCUCCGGGGCGGG